UGCGUAGGUGGUGAUUUAAGUCAGCGGUGAAAGUUUGUGGCUCAACCAUAAAAUUGCCGUCGAAACUGGGUUACUUGAGUGUGUUUGAGGUAGGCGGAAUGCGUGGUGUAGCGGUGAAAUGCAUAGAUAUCACGCAGAACUCCGAUUGCGAAGGCAGCUUACUAAACCAUAACUGACACUGAAGCACGAAAGCGUGGGAUCAAACA
rnacentral:rRNA from 1 species